rnacentral:rRNA from 1 species
GCCGCGUGAGCGAUGAAGGCCUUCGGGUCGUAAAGCUCUGUCCUCAAGGAAGAUAAUGACGGUACUUGAGGAGGAAGCCCCGGCUAACUACGUGCCAGCAGCCGCGGUAAUACGUAGGGGGCUAGCGUUAUCCGGAAUUACUGGGCGUAAAGGGUGCGUAGGUGGUUUCUUAAGUCAGAGGUGAAAGGCUACGGCUCAACCGUAGUAAGCCUUUGAAACUGGGAAACUUGAGUGCAGGAGAGGAGAGUGGAAUUCCUAGUGUAGCGGUGAAAUGCGUAGAUAUUAGGAGGAACACCAGUCGCGAAGGCGGCUCUCUGGACUGUAACUGACACUGAGGCACGAAAGCGUGGGGAGCAAACAGGAUUAGAUACCCUGGUAGUCCACGCCGUAAACGAUGAGUACUAGCUGUCGGAGGUUACCCCCUUCGGUGGCGCAGCUAACGCAUUAAGUACUCCGCCUGGGAAAGUACGCUCGCAAGAGUGAAACUCAAAGGAAUU